AAGAAAUAUGGGAGGCCCCCAGAAGCUGGAAAAGGCAAGGAAACAAAAUCCAAGAAGCAUUUCUGGAGUCUCCACGAAGGAAUUCAGCCCUGCCAACACUUUGAUUUUAGUCCAGUGAGACCCAUUUUGGACUUCUCGACUCCAGAACUAUAAGGGGCUUCUCUGCCCUCCUGCUGUGCCAGGAAGGAGAAGCCCAGACUCAAGUCUGUGAAUAAAUGGUUCCUUUGCUUUUGCAUCAGACUUGGCUCCUUAGUGGUCUCUGUGGGGGAUUUCAAGAUCUGGGCACAACAGCUCAAGGAAAUGAAAGGUGUUUCAUCCUGGAUGAAGAAAGCUGAAAAAAAAAAUCACAACCAUCUUAAUAAGAAAAAAGAUGUUCCAUCUGCAGAUAAACAAGCAAAAUCAUACUUUUUCCUAAUGUCAUCAGAAAGCUGAUAUGGCAAGGAAGAGAACUGAUCUGAAACCUUAUGAAAGACAAGUCACAAACACUGGGUGAGAAGAAUUUAGCCACAGUUUCAAUGAAUAGCUAAAAACCAAGUAUCAGCUGGCAUGAGAUGAUGGAACUCCUGGGUGACACAGACACAAAGUAAAUUCUCACCUAUUUCACAAACUCUUGUUUACAGACUGCUGCAAAGUGUUUACCAGAAAGACUAUGGAUGGAAGAAGCCAAAGAACCUCUUAAUAUUGCAGACCUGGAGCAAAGAAGCUGCCACAGAAGCAAAGGCAUAAAACUUUCCCAGACCC